UACGAAGGGGGGCUAGCGUUGCUCGGAAUUACUGGGCGUAAAGCGCACGUAGGCGGCUUUUGUAAGUUAGAGGUGAAAGCCCGGAGCUCAACUCCGGAAUUGCCUUUAAGACUGCAUCGCUUGAAUCAUGGAGAGGUGAGUGGAAUUCCGAGUGUAGAGGUGAAAUUCGUAGAUAUUCGGAAGAACACCAGUGGCGAAGGCGACUCACUGGACAUGUAUUGACGCUGAGGUGCGAAAAGCGUGGGGGAGCAAACAGG
rnacentral:rRNA from 1 species